AGAGUUUGAUCAUGGCUCAGAUUGAACGCUGGCGGCGUGCCUAACACAUGCAAGUCGAGCGGUAACAGGUGUAGCAAUACAUGCUGACGAGCGGCGAACGGGUGAGUAAUGCUUUGGAAUCUUCCCAGUAGUGGGGGAAUAACCAGUCGAAAGAUUGGCUAAUACCGCAUACGUCUGUAAAGGGAAAGCGGGGGCUCGUAAGACCUCGCGCUAUUGGAUGAGCCAAAGUCGGAUUAGCUAGUUGGUGGGGUAAUGGCCUACCAAGGCGACAAUCCGUAGCUGGUCUGAGAGGACGACCAGCCACACCGGAACUGAGACACGGUCCGGACUCCUACGGGAGGCAGCAGUGGGGAAUAUUGGACAAUGGGGGAAACCCUGAUCCAGCGACGCCGCGUGUGUGAAGAAGGCCUGCGGGUUGUAAAGCACUUUUAGUGGGGACAAAAGGCUACGGAUUAAUACUCUGUGGUCUUGAUUUAACCCAAAGAAAAAGCACCGGCUAACUCUGUGCCAGCAGCCGCGGUAAUACAGAGGGUGCGAGCGUUAAUCGGAAUUACUGGGCGUAAAGCGCGCGUAGACGGUUUUGUAAGUCAGAUGUGAAAUCCCUGGGCUCAACCUGGGAACUGCAUUUGAUACUGCAUGGCUAGAGUAUGGAAGAGGGAAGUGGAAUUUCCGGUGUAGCGGUGAAAUGCGUAGAUAUCGGAAGGAACACCAGUGGCGAAAGCGACUUCCUGGUCCAAUACUGACGUUCAUGUGCGAAAGCGUGGGGAGCAAACAGGAUUAGAUACCCUAGUAGUCC
rnacentral:rRNA from 1 species